rnacentral:rRNA from 1 species
AACGAACGCUGGCGGCAGGCUUAACACAUGCAAGUCGAGCGGGGCCCUUCGGGGUUCAGCGGCGGACGGGUUAGUAACGCGUGGGAACGUGCCUUUCGCUCAGGAAUAGCCUUGGGAAACCGGGGAUAAUACCUGAUACGCCCUGAGGGGGAAAGAUUUAUCGGCGAGAGAUCGGCCCGCGUCUGAUUAGGUAGUUGGUGGGGUAACGGCCCACCAAGCCGACGAUCGGUAGCUGGUUUGAGAGGAUGAUCAGCAACACUGGGACUGAGACACGGCCCAGACUCCUACGGGAGGCAGCAGUGGGGAAUCUUAGACAAUGGGCGCAAGCCUGAUCUAGCCAUGCCGCGUGGGUGAUGAAGGCCUUAGGGUCGUAAAGCCCUUUCGCCGGGGAAGAUAAUGACGGUACCCGGUAAAGAAACCCCGGCUAACUCCGUGCCAGCCGCCGCCGUAA